GACGAACGCUGGCGGCGUGCUUAACACAUGCAAGUCGAACGGAAAGGCCCUGCUUUUGUGGGGUGCUCGAGUGGCGAACGGGUGAGUAACACGUGAGUAACCUGCCCUUGACUUUGGGAUAACUUCAGGAAACUGGGGCUAAUACCGGAUAGGAGCUCCUGCUGCAUGGUGGGGGUUGGAAAGUUUCGGCGGUUGGGUAUGGACUCGCGGCUUAUCAGCUUGUUGGUGGGGUAGUGGCUUACCAAGGCUUUGACGGGUAGCCGGCCUGAGAGGGUGACCGGCCACAUUGGGACUGAGGUACGGCCCAGACUACUACGGGAGGCAACAGUGGGGAAUAUUGCACAAUGGGCGGAAGCCUGAUGCAGCAACGCCGCGUGCGGGAUGACGGCCUUCGGGUUGUAAACCGCUUUCGCCUGUGACGAAGCGUGAGUGACGGUAAUGGGUAAAGAAGCACCGGCUAACUACGUG
rnacentral:rRNA from 1 species